rnacentral:tRNA from 1 species
GGUCAGAGCAUGCGGCUCAUAUCCGCAGAGUCCGGGGUUCAAGUCCCUGCACCGCCACCA